GUGCGUUCGCGUCGCACGCUGUGCGAAGUAAUUUUAAACGUGUGAUUAGUUUUGCGCGCGGGGUAGAAAAAGAUGUGGCCCAUGCUUUGUGUAUUACUCGUGCCCCACUUCAAAGCAAAGCGUUCGUACGCACUGGAAGAUGGAUCCACGAAGGCUGAAACGAGAAGUUGCAACGUGCCCGGUCGGUAGUACUGGCAAGAUGGAAACUUUCAGGCAAGUGCCCCUUUAUUUGGUAUUUGUUUUGUUCGCUUUAGAAAUAUCUCACUGUGAUCUCGUAGCAUAAUUCAUAAUUCGCUAGUGUAAGAGCAAGAGCAGCUGCACUCCUGCUAGGGCAAGUUAACUACCUAGAUCGCGUCCCGUGUGACUAAUGUUUGUCAAAUCUACAUCGGGCGUGGUGCGCCUGCAUAGUUACGCUUUGUUUCUCAGCGCUUGCAUGUUCAUUGAUGUGAUUCUCUUGUGCGUUCAGCGCGGCUGCUUGUAAUACGGUCGUUCGCACUUCAGUCAAAUGUGGUUGACCACUUUUGCGUCGCGUAGAAAAAGGACUGGCUUAGCCACAUUUCGAAGGAACCGGCGCGGUAUUGGUUCUCCCUGAUGCGGUCGCGUGCUGCUGUUGCUGCUUGCCGGACGCCUUCAGCAUUUUUUCGGCUGGCUUUGUCUGUGCGUCUGCGCGUGCUCGCGCUCGGCUUGAUUUGUGUGUGCGUGCGUGUGUGCGCUCAGCUCAGCUCGCUUUGUGUGUGUGUGCGUGCGUGCGCUCGGCUCGCUGUGUGUGUGUGUGUGUGCGUGCGCGUGCGUGCGUGCGUGCGUUCAAUACAUGCCGGUUUGUAUGGGCCGGCGUGUUUGCGCGUGUCUAGUGCGUACGUGUUUUGUGAGUGUGUUGUCUGUGGGUCGCUGUGUGUGCGUGCACGUGUUAGCGUGUCUGCCUGCAUGCAUGUAUGUGUGCUUGUUUGUGUUCAUCAAUGUGCGCGUGCGCGCUUUUGUGUCUGCGCUUUGAGAGUGCGUAUACCUGUGUGUGCGUGUGGGUGCGUUUUGUGUGCGUGCGUAUGUAUUGCAUGAGGCCGGUAGAGUUUUACUCGCAGCAAAACUCUUCCGAUUCGGUGCAGCGAGUGUUCCCGCCUGAAAGCCGAGUUUGGUUUCAAGCCACCCUGGACAACUGUUGUAUGAGGCGCCGUUUCUCGGGAGGACCAGUGGGAAGGUGCCAAGUAUACGCUUCGUCCUUUUUCCUCCCAUGCCCUGAUGAAUCGAUAUCCUUGUUUUUUAUUGUGAAAGGAACGUUACAUCCAGAGCAUAAAUAAAUGAUUAAGAAAUCUGGUAGUGUGUUUCGCCAUUACAAUAAUUCCGAUCUCAAAGACGUGGAUUUCCCAUUAGCCCACAUUUCUUUUGAUGCAGACAACCGCUGAAAUUGUUAGCGGCAGGUUAUUCGAGACGUUCUACGUAUAUAGCAAUUGUCUUCAGGAGCUUUAAUGAAUUUUGAAAAUUUGAAGUGUUGUGCUUUAGAGGUAUCUUAUACAAGCUUAAGGUCUCCGGGUAAUUUGUAUGCCCUUCGAGAGCUGUCGCCUAUAGCCCUAUUGAAAUUCGUAACUACAGUUUGGAGCACUGGGGAAGCUAGAAGGCUUGUCCUGGCUCUCGAGAAAGUGUUUAAGCUGGAGGUGUAGGUUGAGGAGUUUGGGGUUGGUAACACAAAGGAUUUUUUAUGCCUUAGCAGUAGGAGUGACACAGGAUAAAAAAAUGUAUGUGUGUCAAGCACAGGAAGCUGCUCAUGUGGUAGAAGCAUGUGUGUGUGUGUGUGCGCGCGCCCAUGCAUGCGUGCGUGUGUGUGAAUUCUCCUCAAAAGGGAGUAUGUGUGUAAGUGAGCUAUUUCAUUGCUGGUCUGUUUACCAAGAAUUGGCAAGAAAACACAACAAUCAAUUUAACUUGAAAUAAUAAACUUCAAGGCGUACUGGCGACAGCAGCAUAAGCAUGCUGCUGUUUGACAAUCUUAAUGCAUGACUGCAACAUCUCGAAGGAGGCUUGCUUCUUCUUCAGUAAGCAGCACAAAGUCCAUAUUCUUGGCUUUUCUCGUGCAAAUGAAAACGAGGCUCAUUGCCAAUGAUCUUGUCUUUUGCUCUAAUAGCAUUUGUUUAUCUUGUACUUAGAGCGUCGUUUCUCGCAGGUCAUGCAGAUGGUAGCAGCAAUUUCACAAUGCCCAGCCUUGGCACCCCCCAUCAAGAGCAAGCCACUUGCGUUCGCCUUCAGACAGAUGGUUAAUGUCUUCUUGAAAGCAGUUGAGAAGACAACAUUGAUGCAAGAUUCCAGCAAUGCCAUGCGCUGCAUUUAUUGGUCAAGAUGCUCAGAGAAUGGAGUCCCUGCACCUCGUGGUUAACCGUGAACAUUUCUUUUUCUUUUGGAAAGCUAAAGGCCAUUUGCUGCAUCACUUGCAUUUUUGCAGCUCAGAUGUGUACUAUAUUUUUCUAAUUUUGAAUCAAUAUUGGCUGUUCAGUAUAAAAAAUGACGUACAGCGUGAAGGACAAGGACUGCGAGAGACACACUCCACUGACUUUCAACAAUAUUUUAUUGCGUUGCCACAUCGUGUGUGUAUACACAGAGGGGUCAUGCGCAGAAAAUGAAAGCCAGUCACAAGGGGUGUUCUAACAGCAAGUCAUUGUAAAAAGAACAUGGUCACUUGAAAAAAAAAACAUCACAAUUUCUAUCUGUUUAGAUACAAAAUUUCACUAGGGGUCAGCGUGAUAGAGGGGGCACUAACGCACACACUACCCAGUUUUCUGGUGAAAUCAGCUUCAAUAAUUUACCGGGUGAGCUGUGUCUCGCUAAAACUUCCGUAUCUUAAAGAGGGGCAUGCAGCCGCAGUCCCGGCAAUGAAUGCCCAAGUGGCCUUGAACAGUGUUAUUGACGUUGUUAUAGUGCUCUCUUAAACGAUCAUUUAGGCGCCUGCCUAUCUGUCCAAUAUAUUUACUGCCUCAAAAUGGGAAUUUGGGAAACCACAUUCGUUGCACACAUCGCAAAACGUUUUCUGUGCCCGGCAGAGCAACAACUCUGACGUGAUUUAGGCGCGUUUACACACUUACAGAGCCUUGCCAGCUUUUCCGGGGCUGAGAAAAGGACUGUGAUUUCUGCAGGUUCCCUAAUCUUUUUUAGCCUAUGGGAGACAUCAUGAACAUACGGUAGCACUGCAAACCUGUGUCUUUCAACCGGCUGGUUCCUUGACCGAGCGCGCUCAUCAUGUUUUGUGCACUUCAGAAGCUGUUCCGCUAUGGCUGAAAUUAAGGCCAAAGGGUAGCCAACCCAAGAAAGGCAAUCAGCCUGUGCAGCAACGCUAUGUUGCAUCUCGUGUGAGCAAGAUUUAUUGAGGCUGUUAAGGAGGCAAAGCUUUACAAUAUCUCAUUUGACUUUGUUGGACAGACAGGCAGGCGCCUAAACAAUCAUUUAGGAGAGCACGAUAACAACGUCCAUAACACUGUUCAAGGCCACUUCGGCAUCCAUUGCUGGGACUGCGGCUGCGUGCCCCUCUUUGAAGGUACGGAAGCUUUAGCGAGACACAGGUCAUCCGGGAAACUAUAGAAGCAGAUUUCACUAGAAAACUGGUUAGUGUGUGCGUUAGUGACCCCUCUAUCGUGCUGACCCCUAGUGAAGUCUUGUAUCUCAACAGAUAGAAAUUCUAAUGUUUAUUUUUUUCAAAGGACGAUGUUCUUAGUACAGUCACUUGCUGUUAGACACCCCUUGUGACUCAUAUUCUGCGCAUGCCCGCUUUUGUACAAAUACACAUGAUGUGGCAACGUAAUUAAAUAUUGUUGGAAGUCAGCGCAGUCUGUCAUCUCUCGCAGUUCUUGUCAUUCAAGCUGUACGUAAUUUUAUCUCAUUAAUUGCAAACUAUCCCAAGAAACUACCCUUGUUCAGUAUAAUUAUAAUGUUUGAUACGACCAUUUGCUGGCAAAUGUUAACAGUGUGAUAUUUAACUUGAACUUUUGCAUGACUGCCUAUGCCUGUGUUCUUUUAGUAACCAGAGUAUGGCUAAUUUAUUAAACCAUAUUUGCUAAUUUGCAUGCUCACAUGCUAUAGCAUGCCUUAAUCUUGAAUUACUGCAUCUAAGUGCAAAUAAUUUAGAAAUUUACUAUGUAUUUUAAAACACUGUCCACAUUUUGUGCUCAGCAAAAUCGUUUAAUCAACAGUGGUUUGUUUUUAUCAGGCCUCCUACUGCACUUUGCACCCAGGCACUAGUAGAUGUGGAAUAUGCACUCUUUUGAUUUAUAGUAAGAAAAGAACCUAUUUUCAAACUACAUAUUGUAUAUGUACCAGUGCCUUAGAGUUACAAAACAAAAAUUUAUAGAAACUGGUAUUGUAGUUAGAAAAACCGCUACACAGCACCUUUAGCCCAGAGAACUCUCGUUUCACAGAAGAGGACAAACUAUGUAGGCACUAAAAAAUUCUACGUAUUUUUUGUGCUCAAGUAAUCUUGUUGGAAAUAGAAAAUUAGCAAUAAGGCUCCUGGCAUAAACCUCACUUAAAGCAUGUCUAUGCUUGGAAAGUAUUGUUUCAGUCUGAAAAAUGUUGGCCAGUUAUGCUUUACAUCGACUUUCCAAACUUUUCAUAAUGCUUUGCGAUUACAUUAGUGUACAAAAUAACAGGUGCCUUUCUUGUGCGUUUGCUCUGCAUUUCAAUUGCUUCCCUAAUUCACCUUUGCAAUAUGCCUUUUUUAAGGCAUCAAAACUUGAAUUUUCGUUCACUGGAGCCUAAUACUAAAAAUUUAUUCCUUUAUGUGACCCAAAACACUGCGAAUCAAUCCAGGCUCUUUCAGUGCCGCUAUACAUAGUUUCUUCUCUAAUAACAGAUUUGAUCAAUACUAAUAUUUUAGGUACCUUUGUGGGGAAUGUAAAUGUUCUUGUACUUACCGAUGUGUUUGGUGAUUGUGCAUGUUUAUAUUUCAUGUGAUUUAUGUAUAUGUUGUACUCUGUAUUGCAGCAUGCAAUAAAUAUAUUUGCGUUUUCUUGAAAAUGCAGCAUA